rnacentral:rRNA from 1 species
GACGAACGCUGGCGGCGUGCCUAAUACAUGCAAGUCGAACGCAGUGGGGACGGGUGAGUAACACGUGGGUAACCUCCCAUCCGCGGGGAUAACACUUGGAAACAGGUGCUCCACCGAUAAUGAUGGAGUGACCCGCGGUGCAUUAGCUAGUUGGUGAGUUAACGGCUCACCAAGGCCACGAUGCAUAGCCGACCUGAAAGUGGGAUCGGCCACACUGGGACUGAGACACGGCCCAGAAUCCUACGGGAGGGAGCAGUAGGGAAUCUUCGGCAAUGGACGAAAGUCUGACCGAGCAACGCCGCGUGAGUGAAGAAGGUUUUCGGAUCGUAAAACUCUGUUGUUAGAGAAGCGGUAUCUAACCAGAAAGCCACGGCUAACUACGUGCCAGCCGCCGCGGUAAUUC